GGUUAUCUUAAGACUUGGGAAUGUCCGGCCUAUGUCAAGAGACAAAUGGCAGAUAAAUUGGAGGAUAGAUCUAUUAUAGCUCACUUUAUAAGGUAUCCAAAAGAAUCCAUAGGAUACUACUACUUUUCACAAGACCACAAUAUGAUUGUGAGUUAAAAUGCUGUAUUCUUAGAAAAAUAGUUUAUCCAAGAUGGCGGUAGUG
rnacentral:lncRNA from 1 species